UACGGGGGGAGCAAGCGUUAUCCGGGAUUAUUGGGCGUAAAGAGCUCGUAGGCGGUUUGUCGCGUCUGCCGUGAAAGUCCGGGGCUCAACUCCGGAUCUGCGGUGGGUACGGGCAGACUAGAGUGAUGUAGGGGAGACUGGAAUUCCUGGUGUAGCGGUGAAAUGCGCAGAUAUCAGGAGGAACACCGAUGGCGAAGGCAGGUCUCUGGGCAUUAACUGACGCUGAGGAGCGAAAGCAUGGGGAGCGAACAGG
rnacentral:rRNA from 1 species